UAAUACGUAGGGUCCAAGCGUUAAUCGGAAUUACUGGGCGUAAAGGGUGCGCAGGUGGUUGUGCAAGCCAGAUGUGAAAUCCCCGGGCUUAACCUGGGAACUGCAUUUGGGACUGCACGGCUAGAGUGUGGCAGAGGGGGGUGGAAUUCCGCGUGUAGCAGUGAAAUGCGUAGAGAUGCGGAGGAACACCAAUGGCGAAGGCAACCCCCUGGGUUAACACUGACACUCAUGCACGAAAGCGUGGGGAGCAAACAGGAUUAGAUACCCUGGUAGUCCACGCCCUAAACGAUGUCUACUAGUUGUUGGAGCAGCAAUGCUUUAGUAACGCAGCUAACGCGUGAAGUAGACCGCCUGGGGAGUACGAUCGCAAGAUUA
rnacentral:rRNA from 1 species